rnacentral:SRP_RNA from 2 species
GCUGGGCGUGGUGGCUCACGCCUGUAAUCCCAGCACUUUGGGAGGCCGAGGUGGGUGGAUCACCUGAGGUCAGGAGUUUGAGACCAGCCUGACCAACAUGGAGAAACCCCGUCUCUA